rnacentral:rRNA from 1 species
GACGAAGUGCCCGAACGUUCCGCGAAUUUACUGGGCGUAAAGGGUCCGUAGGCGGUUUAGCAAGUGGUUGGUGAAAUUUCACGGCUCAACCGUGAAACUGCCUUCCAAACUGCUAAACUUGAGGCAGGGAGAGGUCGGCGGAAUUCCAGGUGUAGCGGUGAAAUGCGUAGAUAUCGGGAGGAACACCAGUGGCGAAGGCGGCGGACUGGAACUGUCCUGACGCUGAGGGAAGAAAGCUAGGGGAGCAAACCGG